CAGUAGCCGCGGGAACACGGAGGGGGCUAGCGUUGUUCGGAAUUACUGGGCGUAAAGCGCACGUAGGCGGCUUGGUAAGUUAGAGGUGAAAGCCUGGAGCUCAACUCCAGAAUUGCCUUUAAGACUGCAGGGCUAGCAGGUGAGAGAGGUGAGUGGAAUUCCGAGUGUAGAGGUGAAAUUCGUAGAUAUUCGGAAGAACACCAGUGGCGAAGGCGGCUUACUGGCUCAUACUGGACGCUGAGGUGCGAAAGCGUGGGGAGCAAACAGGAUUAGAUACCCCCGUAGUCCCUGUCUCUUAUAC
rnacentral:rRNA from 1 species